rnacentral:lncRNA from 1 species
GGUAAAAGAGUCCAAAGUCUCUUGUAUCUAAUUAGAGAUACAACACAUGGAAGUCUCGACGGGAGGAACCAUCAACAUAAACGCAUCAUCACCUAGAAAUUCCAGCCAACAUUGUUGAUUUUGAUGGAUGUGUUUCCAACAAAUUUUCAUUAAAUCGAUCGUGGAAGGCAUCAUCACCUGGAAAUUUCAGCCAACAUUGUUGAUUUCGAUGGAUGUGUUUCCAAUAACUUUUCAUUAAAGCUGUCGCGGAACCAUCAACAAAAACGCAUCAUCACCUGGAAAUUCCAGCCAACAUUGUUGAUUUCGAUGGAUGUGUUUCCAACAACUUUUCAUUAAAGCUGUCGCGCAUGUUGCUUCGGUCUUGAAAGAGUACAAGGGUCACGAUAUUAAAGCAAGUGAUUGCAACAGCUAGCUUCAGUCUUCAAUCGGGAAAUGGAAUUGAAAUUGCACGCAUGAUCUUGGAAUGUUGGAAAAAAAUUUCAACUCUCGCAUGCCCCUCUCAUCAGUUCAGCAUUGUCUCGCACGUAUAGAGACACCAUCUUUGGAACUUGCACGCAUGAUCCUGGAAAUUAGGAAAAAAGCUUAACUUCAGCACGCCUCUCCAGCCAUCAGUCCAGCAUUUGUCUCGCAUGCCUUCAUGUAAUGAGCCACCAGCAUAUUUACUAUACACAUGCUAGAUACGCAUGGGCAGCACUACUGUCAGCCAGUCAAAUUUGCAUUUGUCUCGCACGCCUGCCACCAGCGUAUUUAAUAUACACAUGCUGGAUACGCAUGGGCAGCACUAAUGUCAGCCAAUCAAAUUUGAAUCAUUGGAACGCUGGUCUCGCAAUUGAGACACCAUCGUCGAAAUUAGCAAGCAUGAUCCUGGAACUUAGGAAAAUAGCUUAAAUUCAGCACACCUGUCAAGCCUUCAGUCUCGCGAAACAAUAAUCCAACUGUUGGUUUAGGGAAUUGGAGUACAAAGUUGCUAGAGAAUCGAGUCCCUCGCAUGUAAAAGCAGAAACGCAUGAUGUGCAUGCUUUCGGGAUUUCGAGACAAGAGAACAAAUCAAAUACCAGUCAAGGGAUGAAGAUUCUGGCGCAUGCCAAGCGUCGGAAACAUGAUAAAAAACGCUGGAAUUCACUGCUUUAAUUUGAAUCGUGAGGAUUUCGCAGGAAGGUCCGUAAGAACAACUGUUUCUUGAACACCUGGGCAAUUAAGAGAGCAGGUGAAUUACACUCAAGUCUGUUACAUAGAUCGCACCAUCGUAUUUAUGUGAUGCCACUCGCUACGACCUCUAUGGGUGGUAUUAGCACUUCGUGCUCAUUCCCUUGAGGAAGGAAAGGUGACGUUGCAAGUACAAGAUGGCAAGCUAUGGAGAUAAUAACAAUUAUGUGGAUUGACGUCACAUUUUCAAUUUUAGCUUGCUUUUAAUGAUACCGGGUUUAAGUAUAUCACUUAAAUUUGGUAUUAAAAAAAAAUUGUAACUGUCAAAUUUUAGUCCCUCGUGUCGCAAGUCUUCCGACGCUGUAAUUUCUUUUAUUAUUUCUUUUUAAUAAUAUAAAAUAUAGCCCUAGGCGCUUGCCUAGGGAUUACCAAAAAAAAUAACAAAGCUAAAAACUUUUCUUCUCUUUUC